rnacentral:rRNA from 1 species
GGGUUGUGAGGUUAAGCGACUAAGCGUACACGGUGGAUGCCCUGGCAGUCAGAGGCGAUGAAGGACGUGCUAAUCUGCGAUAAGCGUCGGUAAGGUGAUAUGAACCGUUAUAACCGGCGAUUUCCGAAUGGGGAAACCCAGUGUGUUUCGACACACUAUCAUUAACUGAAUCCAUAGGUUAAUGAGGCGAACCGGGGGAACUGAAACAUCUAAGUACCCCGAGGAAAAGAAAUCAACCGAGAUUCCCCCAGUAGCGGCGAGCGAACGGGGAGCAGCCCAGAGCCUGAAUCAGUGUGUGUGUUAGUGGAAGCGUCUGGAAAGGCGCGCGAUACAGGGUGACAGCCCCGUACACAAAAAUGCACAUGCUGUGAGCUCGAUGAGUAGGGCGGGACACGUGGUAUCCUGUCUGAAUAUGGGGGGACCAUCCUCCAAGGCUAAAUACUCCUGACUGACCGAUAGUGAACCAGUACCGUGAGGGAAAGGCGAAAAGAACCCCGGCGAGGGGAGUGAAAAAGAACCUGAAACCGUGUACGUACAAGCAGUGGGAGCACGCUUAGGCGUGUGACUGCGUACCUUUUGUAUAAUGGGUCAGCGACUUAUAUUCUGUAGCAAGGUUAACCGAAUAGGGGAGCCGAAGGGAAACCGAGUCUUAACUGGGCGUUAAGUUGCAGGGUAUAGACCCGAAACCCGGUGAUCUAGCCAUGGGCAGGUUGAAGGUUGGGUAACACUAACUGGAGGACCGAACCGACUAAUGUUGAAAAAUUAGCGGAUGACUUGUGGCUGGGGGUGAAAGGCCAAUCAAACCGGGAGAUAGCUGGUUCUCCCCGAAAGCUAUUUAGGUAGCGCCUCGUGAAUUCAUCUCCGGGGGUAGAGCACUGUUUCGGCAAGGGGGUCAUCCCGACUUACCAACCCGAUGCAAACUGCGAAUACCGGAGAAUGUUAUCACGGGAGACACACGGCGGGUGCUAACGUCCGUCGUGAAGAGGGAAACAACCCAGACCGCCAGCUAAGGUCCCAAAGUCAUGGUUAAGUGGGAAACGAUGUGGGAAGGCCCAGACAGCCAGGAUGUUGGCUUAGAAGCAGCCAUCAUUUAAAGAAAGCGUAAUAGCUCACUGGUCGAGUCGGCCUGCGCGGAAGAUGUAACGGGGCUAAACCAUGCACCGAAGCUGCGGCAGCGACACUAUGUGUUGUUGGGUAGGGGAGCGUUCUGUAAGCCUGUGAAGGUGUGCUGUGAGGCAUGCUGGAGGUAUCAGAAGUGCGAAUGCUGACAUAAGUAACGAUAAAGCGGGUGAAAAGCCCGCUCGCCGGAAGACCAAGGGUUCCUGUCCAACGUUAAUCGGGGCAGGGUGAGUCGACCCCUAAGGCGAGGCCGAAAGGCGUAGUCGAUGGGAAACAGGUUAAUAUUCCUGUACUUGGUGUUACUGCGAAGGGGGGACGGAGAAGGCUAUGUUGGCCGGGCGACGGUUGUCCCGGUUUAAGCGUGUAGGCUGGUUUUCCAGGCAAAUCCGGAAAAUCAAGGCUGAGGCGUGAUGACGAGGCACUACGGUGCUGAAGCAACAAAUGCCCUGCUUCCAGGAAAAGCCUCUAAGCAUCAGGUAACAUCAAAUCGUACCCCAAACCGACACAGGUGGUCAGGUAGAGAAUACCAAGGCGCUUGAGAGAACUCGGGUGAAGGAACUAGGCAAAAUGGUGCCGUAACUUCGGGAGAAGGCACGCUGAUAUGUAGGUGAAGCGACUUGCUCGUGGAGCUGAAAUCAGUCGAAGAUACCAGCUGGCUGCAACUGUUUAUUAAAAACACAGCACUGUGCAAACACGAAAGUGGACGUAUACGGUGUGACGCCUGCCCGGUGCCGGAAGGUUAAUUGAUGGGGUCAGCGCAAGCGAAGCUCUUGAUCGAAGCCCCGGUAAACGGCGGCCGUAACUAUAACGGUCCUAAGGUAGCGAAAUUCCUUGUCGGGUAAGUUCCGACCUGCACGAAUGGCGUAAUGAUGGCCAGGCUGUCUCCACCCGAGACUCAGUGAAAUUGAACUCGCUGUGAAGAUGCAGUGUACCCGCGGCAAGACGGAAAGACCCCGUGAACCUUUACUAUAGCUUGACACUGAACAUUGAGCCUUGAUGUGUAGGAUAGGUGGGAGGCUUUGAAGUGUGGACGCCAGUCUGCAUGGAGCCGACCUUGAAAUACCACCCUUUAAUGUUUGAUGUUCUAACGUUGACCCGUAAUCCGGGUUGCGGACAGUGUCUGGUGGGUAGUUUGACUGGGGCGGUCUCCUCCUAAAGAGUAACGGAGGAGCACGAAGGUUGGCUAAUCCUGGUCGGACAUCAGGAGGUUAGUGCAAUGGCAUAAGCCAGCUUGACUGCGAGCGUGACGGCGCGAGCAGGUGCGAAAGCAGGUCAUAGUGAUCCGGUGGUUCUGAAUGGAAGGGCCAUCGCUCAACGGAUAAAAGGUACUCCGGGGAUAACAGGCUGAUACCGCCCAAGAGUUCAUAUCGACGGCGGUGUUUGGCACCUCGAUGUCGGCUCAUCACAUCCUGGGGCUGAAGUAGGUCCCAAGGGUAUGGCUGUUCGCCAUUUAAAGUGGUACGCGAGCUGGGUUUAGAACGUCGUGAGACAGUUCGGUCCCUAUCUGCCGUGGGCGCUGGAGAACUGAGGGGGGCUGCUCCUAGUACGAGAGGACCGGAGUGGACGCAUCACUGGUGUUCGGGUUGUCAUGCCAAUGGCACUGCCCGGUAGCUAAAUGCGGAAGAGAUAAGUGCUGAAAGCAUCUAAGCACGAAACUUGCCCCGAGAUGAGUUCUCCCUGACUCCUUGAGAGUCCUGAAGGAACGUUGAAGACGACGACGUUGAUAGGCCGGGUGUGUAAGCGCAGCGAUGCGUUGAGCUAACCGGUACUAAUGAACCGUGAGG